GUUCAUACUUUGCCAACGUUUUUGGAUAAGUUCACAGUAUUUUAGAAUGAAAGUUUUGGAAAAUUCUUGUUAGAAUGAAAAAACAAGGAUAUUGGAGCUAAGUCAAGACAUGUUUCAAAGUUGAUAUUACUUUCAAAAAAUUUUCAUGACUACAUACACAUAUGCUCAUGAAAACAUUUUUUGGCAUGAAAAUCAAGUAGAGAUUUGAGGUAGGUCAGAUUAAGCUAACAAAGUGUGGUAAAGAAAAAAUUUUCCCUACUGGUAUUCAAGGCACGAUACCUGGGCUAUGGUCCAGGCGCGCGCCUGGUGCUCAAAUAAGGCUACCUGAAGCAACCUUAACAGGUGAGUCCCAUCUCUCACCUUACAAUGGGCGCACAUCUCAUACCGAGUGGGGAGUGGGGAGUUUUAAAACUCCUCAACCUGGAUACACGAUCUCCAUUUCCCACAAAAUCGAAAACCCUACUCCCAUUCCUCCAAAUCUUCACCAAAAUACAUUAAUUCACUUGAGAUUCUCACUUGGGCAUACACUAUCAAGGGCAUUAGCACAAUAUAUCACAAGAUUUCGCUCUUCUAAUUCCUUCACCUCAAGAAAAUCAAGGAUGUUACCAAGAUGACAACGUGAGGCCUCUACAUCUAAAGGAAAAGAAAAGGCUGACGCACCUAACAUCUCAGCAUGUACAUGUGCCGACGAAUAUGGCACGAAACGUUUCCUUAGUGCGAAUCAAAAAAAGUUAUUAAAUCGGGUAAUGAUGACGAGAAAACUGUGGUUGAAGAAACGAUUAUUCUAAGAGACUAAGUAGGAUAUGAGAUAACUACUCUCAUAGGCAAAACAAAUUGGACAGGCGUGAUCAAUAAACCAUAUAAGGUAUUUUCCACAGUGGUUCAAGAGUUUUAUACAAGCUUCAACCACCAGAUUGAUGAUUAAGAAACAGAGCAUGAUUACUACACAUGGAUCAGGGACAAGUGGGUGAUGUUCACACUCGAGGUGAUUGAUCAAUACUAUGGUUUGACUCAGGAGAACAUCAUCCCAGUACCUAUAGAGCAGGAUAUGGUUCUCAUAGUUCAGAUGCCCUACAAGGGACAGGAAAAUGUAGGGGAGGAGUUUGAAUAUAAGAAGUUGACCCAUUCCUUACAAUGCUGAUGAAACUCAUCUGCCACAACAUUGAGUCUAUCUCAUAUAUGUCUACUUUCAACUGUGCCAAGAUAUUUUUUCUACCCUCAUCUGUGGGAUAUGCAUAAAUUCAGAGGUAAGACUUCUCCCACCAAAGCAGUCGGCUCCAUCCAGUAUCCAUAUCAACCGUAAUAUGACGAAAAACUCUUGGCACACUCCUUCAGAGUAGAUAUCACCAGCAACUGGAGGAAGCCAUGGGCCCACAGCCUCGCAUCCAAACCUUUUCGUUGACACCCUACUCCUGCGACAAUUACUUGCAAGAUUGACUGAGAGCAUCCAAGGCAUGUUACGGAUAGACUAGUUGCUUGGGUCCUUGGAUUUGAGAGUUGGUCACACUGAGAUCCGCACUACUAUUAUACAUGAUCAUGUGAUGUUAGUACAAAAGGAUGUUUCCAAUGUAAACAAGUGGAUCAUCAUGGUCAUCAAAAGGGUAGAUUGAUAUGUCAGAUGGAAUUCUAAGCUUAAUAUCUGAAUUGAUGAUAGCUUUGAUAUAAUGAGCGACAUCCAGACCGAAAUGGACCAGCAGUCUACUUGGUUGAGAGAGAAAUUCUCGUACACUUGCAUCCACAUCCUCCUCCAUCUUCUUCAGAUUCAACGGAUUUUGGGGCUUAUAUACCAUUUCCACGACCGACUACGUCAGAUUGACCGGGGAGUAUCUAUGUCCCCUCUUUGCCCUUCUUUUUGUAUUUUACUAUCAUAUUUUUGUAUAUUGAAGGCAAUGCACGUGUUAAGUUUGGAGGUAGCUGAUUGACUCAUCAUUGAUUGUUAUAUAAAGUUAACUACUUUUGUAUGAUUAUCGAAAGUUAAAAAAGACAUUUUCUUU